ACGAUGAAACAACAGACUUUUUCGGAAUGCAGCCUGUUGCGGAGUUCAACCAUGGGUUAUGCGAUAUCCGCAAACCGAAUAGGUUAAAUACUGAACAAAAACGCUU
rnacentral:sRNA from 1 species